ACUUAGACGUUAACGAUUCAGGAUUGUCAAGCUGCAGCCCAGCCCCCGUCACCCCAGAGCACCCAGCCUGUGAGCACUCAGCUCAGGGCACCUCCCCAUGCUUGGCACAUGCCUGCCCCGUGUCGGGGGGCUCAGAAAGAGGUGCGGACAUGGGGGGAGGGACAUAGCACAAGGAGCAGGAGAAGUGAAGCUCCAGUACAAAGAGGCUUGUACACCAGCCAACAUCUCGCCCAGCCUGGGGUCCCUGUGCCGCGGUUUCUCGUGGAAAUCAGAAGCAUCUUUUUGAUCCACAUCAAGAAUAGGGUUUAAGACAGCUGCUAAUGACUGACCUGAGGUCUGUUCACACACAGUCCCCUGCAUGGCUGGAGCAGCAAGACAAGAUGGGGGGUUAUUUUACAGUGUUCUCAUAGCCAGUGGCGCCAGAGACACCUCUGCUUGAGGGAUGCUCCAUCUCGCUCCCUGGAGGGAUUCCUGAGCCCUGGCGACCUGAUGGCAGUGCCGUGGAGGUGCCCUGGCAAGGAAGGGGCGGCAGUGAGUCACAGCACCUCAGACUGGCACCAUGGGGAACUGGUUUCUGUUCUUUGCCAUAAAUCCCCAGGAGCCAGCGUGGCAGCAGAGAGGAUCACGCUGACUGGGCUGGCGUGUGAGCGUAGCCAUGAGGCAGUCUGCACGGAGCUGCAGGAGCAGCACGCACAGGUGUUGCUUAGUGACCACACCUGGAAGAUGUGAGCCUGUAGCAAACACCGAAUGUCAGGCUGUGGGUGUAGACUGCCCGACAGAGUCUGGCCCGGCGCAUCUCCCCGUUUCACAGAGGUAGCCGGCUGCAGUGGGAGAGGAGCGAGGCUAAGGAUAGCUCUGGGUCAGCAGGGCUUUCUUGCCAGGGUCACUUCUCUGAGCUAGUGCAAAUCCCGAUGCCUUGGCCCUUUCACAGAGUUCGUUCCCUGGGGAGGGGAACAAGAGCUAGUGGCUGGGAAACGUUCUAGAUGCUUAUGAAUGGGGGUGACGCCAAAGCAGUUCAUGCUUGUCUGAAACCUCCCCCUGGAAAGAGAACAGAUUCCUUAGGGCUCCCCCACCCCGCCCUUGGGGCAGAGGGCCAGGAGGGCGGGGCUGGGUUUGCAGUGUCUGUCUGCAGAUUAUCCUCAGACUGCUGGCUACUUCAUUCGCCCGACCUGUAUGAAUGACGGUGCUUAGCCUGUCUGGCUUGCCGGGGCGCUCUCCACCCCCCAGAGUGAGAUACCGGGGUGCUAGGAGCUGAGGGGUCACCUCCAGUGGUGGUAGCUCUGGAAAUACUGAAUGGGAAAAGGUAGUGCGGGGAGGAGCCUAAGGAACAAGUUCACCCUACUGGCUUUUUGUCACCGGCUCAUGUCGUGACUUCUCUGCUGCGGAGAAUGUUCCUUUUGUGAAUGGUGCUGAGCCCGGUAGCCGUGGAGCUGGGGUGGGGGCCAGCAGGUCUGCUCUGAAUUUCCCCGGACCCAUGGAGCUUGUAUGGUGUGAUGUCCUCGUGUCAGCACGAUAGCUCGGGGCUCAGAGGGACCCAGGCGGUCCCCAGGCCACCUGGCUCCUCCACCACUGUUCGUGCACUGUCUCUAUCACCUGUUGGCGACAUUCUGGGGCCUUUCUCUACCAUGCCUGUCCUGUGCAGCUGGUGUCAAGCUGUAAUAAGAGGAGAGUGCAACAGGGAGAUUAGCGUGCCCUGAUGCCUGUCUGCUGGGCGAUGUGUUUAAAGACCCGUCAGCCUCCAAGAGCAACGUGGAGCACCCAGGAUUAAAUGUCACCUCUCAGAACUCCCCUGAGCCACAUUCCUCCAUCACCGUCCUAAGCCAGUGCCGCGUUCCCACGGUAAAUGUAACAACUCCAGCACUUCCCUGCUGCUGGGAGGUGGGUGGGAACGCGCCCCAGGGAGGUGAGAGCAGCUUCCACAGGCGGGGUGCUGUGGUGGGACUUGCAGGUGAAUUCUUUUAGCAAAAUUAGCUGCAGGUGUGUUCCCGUUCAGUGAGGAACUCUCCGAGAAGCCAGCAUGGAGGGCUUUGCACCAAGGAGCUUGCAUUGGGCGAGUCCAGCUAUUUCCCAUGUGUGCCAGCACAGAGUGUGAACACUAUAGCAUCCGUAGAGCAGGAGGGGAUGGACUCUCCCGGCUGUAUCUGUCUACUCCUGACGAGAGGAACCGAGGGAGCCAGGUGGGGCACAGAGAGCCCUGUUUGGUUCCAGGGGGUUAUUUCCUGGUUUCCUUACCCCCUUGCUUCCCGUCCCUGAGAUAUUCCCUAGCCAUUAGUCACCAACGUUUUUCGUCUGGCAGGUGCCAGACUAUGAGCCACAGAGGGCCAUGGUGGCGGACGAGCAUCCACCGAAAUGCCGCCGAAAAUGGGUGCUGCUGCUUCUGGAUGACACUGCUUGUCGGUGGCAUUUCGGCAGAUGCUCGUCCGCCGGCCAGUACUCGUGCAUACUUAGAUGCCCCAGCGGGCGCCAUGGCACCUGCAGGCACCUCGUUGGGGGCCCUUGCCCUAGCACAUGUGACAGAUGGAGCCUGCCUUAGCUGGGAACCUUCUGCUUCUCCCACUUUACAGCUGUAGUUAGCCUCUCCUGGUCGUUCACUUUGCUUCUGUGCUGCUCCCUGGGCGUGCUGGGGAGAACCCCAAGCCAAGCAUCCUCCACAUGGCAGAGCCUGCUGGGUUCAUGGUCAGGCCGUGGGGGAGAGCCAGAAGGCAGAUCUUCACUUUUCUUUGGAAUUCCAUUCGUUUCCACACUGGGUCCCUGCUCGCGAGACAGCAGCUACUCAGACUGGGACAGAAAUAGUUUUGUCUCUCCAACAGCCCAGCUAAUCGCCUUUGCCCCAGCCACCAGCUUAUUGCAAUUUCACCGCGUUCUCCUAACCCUAGUGUUACCCAUUUCCUUCUUCUGCUUCUUCCAGCACAGUCCUGCCAGUAGAUCUGGCACCUUGAGCUCUGAUGGGCUGGCCAGCUCGUCGGCUUGGUCACUACGAGCCCUUCUACAUCGCCUGUGGCAGCGACCCUCCCAGACUGAGUCAACGGGCUCAGGCUGGUGGGACUGGGGCUGCCGUGUGCAGAUGUUGCAGCUCAGCCUGGGGCUCGGGCUCUGAAGGCCAGGAAGUGCGGAGGGCUUCGGAACCCGAGCUCCAGCCUGAGACAUCACACCAAAGCCCUGGCUAGACAGCAAGCGCCAGCCGGAGCCCUGCAAACCUGGGUUGGAGGCUUGCUGCUGUGGGCAGUGCAGACAGACCUUAACAGCCUGACUCUCGCCUGCCCUGGAGCUUUGGGCAUGACACCCUCCUAGCUGGUGGGCAUGAGGGGAGCGCGCUGGCUUGGUAGCUGUGUAGCUGCGUUCAGCACAGGGGUGCAUGGCAGCAGGAGGGGCUGCGUUUGCAAAGUGCUUUAUGCUCCAGUUCGGUUAUUUAAGGCCACGCAGGCCAGUUCUAGCCUCAGAAUAAUGAACCAACAACAUUCCAAAUCCCGGCCCAAUAGACACUGCAGAGCCCAAAGGCGUCUCCUCCCUACAGAUAGCAGGAGCUGCCCCUGGCCUAUGACAGCAGCAUGGGCUAAAUUCCAAGGAGGCGCAUCCCCUGCCAGCAAGUGGGACUAACUGGUGUGUUGUGCAUGUGUAUUGCGGUGCUAAGUUAUUAACAUACUAACCGAGGAGGAUCUCCCUGCUCUCACAGACUCUGCUCCCCAGCCAGGCCUGCUAUUGACGCUGGAAUGUUGAGUAAGUCACUUGUGAAUGAACUAACCCACUAACUGGCUAUAACGCAUGCUCUACUAACCCGUCUUGUUUCACCUCCUACUAACCGGGCACAACACACAUUGCCUUAAAGGGAAUGGAAAAGCUUGGGUAAGUACGUCUGCAAAGAAGUCAUUCAAGUUGCCAUCCCAGGAACAGAAUCUAUGUGCAGUGUCAAACAUUACAAACACAGUGAGGGAAUCUGGGGAGCUGCUCCUCCAUGUACCUGGCAGGGCCUGAGGGCAGGAUUCUGUCUUUCCCCAGCAACAUGGGGAACACCAGAAAGUGGAGGUUUGCUGCACUCUCUGCUCUGCUGUCAGUGCUAGGAUUCUCCCACCACCCGCAAAGGAAAGACAGACUCUGCUUUGCCAGUCUUGGUAGGUAAAAGAGGAAGGGCUGAUUUUCCAGUGGUGUUUCCGUCUGUAAUGCUGAAGUCUGCAUGUGGAUUCUGCUGCUGACUAGGGAUCCUAGACUGUGUUUAUUGACAAAAGCUUUUCAGUUUCUUUUUAAGUCACUAGAUCUCUCUCUCCUGUUACUAACACAUUUCCAAACUGAAUUAAACAAACUAACCUUGGCUGCUUUUCUCUCCAUUUCUCUUUCCUAGUCUGUAUGUUCUGUUCCUGAACUAAGAUGCGCUCUCUGGUUAUGACAUGUGGCUCUUUAUUAACUGCUUGUACUAAUCUCUUCUCAGUUGGUUCUAGAUGCUACUAACAUACAUCUUUGGCUCCUGAACUUUCUGAUGCUAUUCACCAUGACAAAUGAAUGAACAGGUUUUUCCCCGCCCCUGUAACAGACCCCUGUUAAUGCAACCUCCUGUAUUAUUCUGCUGGCCUUUUUUUCAGUGCAGCUGAACAUCUUUAACUCCUGUUAAGUGCAAUGAAAAAGGAAGAUGCUCAAGAGUUUUGAAAAUUAGGCCACUGGUCUUCAGUUUUUUAAUCAACUUGAUGAGGCUAAGAGAAAACAAUGCUAUUAACAGGCUUUAUAAAGCUACUUGAAGUGGCAUGUUCUACAUACUGGUCAGUCAGUUUGUAAUUUGUAUUUGCCAGAAGGUCUGGUGAAUCUAGUUUGCAGAGAGACCUUGUUAAAAAGCAAUUAAGAAACUGCAGUUCCCACCUCACCCCAGACCCUUGAAUUGCUUGGAAUGCUGGUUCAUCUGUCAUUGGGAAUGGCCUUCACAUCAGCCUUAGUGCCUCUGUUACUCCUGAGCUUUGGGACGGACAUGGGGUGUUUUCAGCUUGUGCCGGCCCAGGACUCAGUUUCCGUGUAUCUCCACAGUUCCCCUUUGGCACUGAUGCAUGUGAAAAGCAGUUGCCAACCUUGAGCACCCAACUACCAGGAGCUGUGGGGCUGAACCAACCUGGUUGAUUGGCACUUGUUGUAUUUAUUCCUGGUCACUAACCCGAGAAGAUGGGAGGCGAGGGGCAGGGAGAGGAAUAGGACAUGUUGUCUAAAAGGAGAUCUGCUGUCGAGAUCCUCUCCUUGAACUGCCCCCACUCGGGGGCAGCCUGGCUGCGACCCUCAGGUGAGCAGAACUCCUGGGAGGGGAGAGUCUGCCCAGACAGACAGACAGACAGACAGACAGGUGCACUCUGCAGCCAGGGCAAUCACUGGCUUUCCGGGAGUGAGCAGCUCUGCCCAAGUGCUUUAUGGGUCUGGCCUGUAACUGGUCGGAACCUCUCUCGCUCGUGAGAUGCUCUGGUGCCAAUUCCCCUUUCUCUGGCUCGCUUGCUGCCUAACUACUAACCGCUGCUCUGCUUUGCCCUGAGAUGUGUAGCUGGAGAAGGACCCACAGCGUGACUCGGUCUUUAUGCCAGUUUAUUGCCUGUUUCUGUAGCAGAUCCCCCUCCCCUUUAAUCCCUGUGUGUUUCUGUACUAACCACGUGACCUGUUCCUUUCAGGCUGAUAUUAAUAGUUUGCUGGGGAUCUCACCACUAACCUGGCUGCCUCCUCUCGAUUAUCCCUCCGGGUCCGUGUAUGGCAGUGACGUGGCUGGUGUAUUUUCACCUAACACACUAACUAGUCAGGAGGCUGCCUGGCCCUGGCUGCUCCCUGCUUUAUUAACAUACUAAAACCUCUCUCAGGGCUGGGAUCAGGAUGGGUUUGGGGGUCAGUUGUUCCAUGUGUUUCCUUGGAGAGUGGGGCUGUGAUGCAUCCCCAAAUCGAGGAGCAAGCACACUUGCUCUUUCGGGGGAUACUGCAAGGGGUAGAGUAUCUGGCUGCCGUGGAUCAGAGUGCCCAGCAAUGCAAGUUUGCCCAGCAGAUCAGGGAAGGGGGUGGUGGAAAGCAGCAGCUGGGCUGGGGUCCUCCAGGGGCAGGAGGGCCUGGGCACAGCGAGGUGGGCUGAGCUCAUGGGGAAGCCAAGCUAGGGUAAGUUGGGGUGAUUUGGCACAAGGCCUGGCAGAAAAAGUGAAACCUUCCUGUUUUGGAAAUGAGUGAGAAUCUGCCCAGGAUAAUGUAGCAACCAGGGAACCAGCAUUUCAGCCUUGGUGUUGUUCAAAGCGUGCCCGUGCCCCAGCCCAGGAGCUGCAGCUCUUCUGGGCCAGCCCUUACUGUUUCAUGGUGUCUUUCACAGCCUUCAGUGACCUGAGCCUCCCGCGCUGCUCCUGAACUAACCAGUCCGCCAGGCAGCAGGUGCUGCAAGGCUGCAUUUCCUCAUCCCAGGAGAUGUGGCACAUGGGAGCCCAAAAGGCCAAACCUGUGUCUGUGCCAGCCUCUGCGGGACUUGGCAUUUGGAAAUGUCCUUGACUUUCUCUGGCCCCCUGCUCUUCUGGGCUGUUGGUUUGCACAGGCUGGAACCCUGGGGCCUGAGGGUAGGAGCCGCUGGGAAGGCUGCAGUCUCUGCAGGAGAAGGGCACCUGCUAGUCUCUGAAGUAUGCUCCCAUCUGUACGGCUGGCUCCUCGGCUGCCAAGGGCAGCAAUGCAGGGCGGGGACAGGGAGCACAUGGGGGGCUCUGACAGAACAGGCGGCUUUGCUUGGCCGGGUCUGUCGCUCUGCUCCUUGUCACUGUGCAUGUUCCCUGCUCGGCGCCCGGGUGCCCUUUGGGGUUAGGUGGUUUCUCGUCUCUGGCUGGGCAGGGGCAGCGACUCCAGGGGCCCAGCGUGGCAAGGGAACGUAGGGGUCACCAGCAGCCACCCGCUCCAGACCCAGCUCCUGUUCUGCAUUGCGCUGCUUCCUGGCCCCCUGGCAGGCAGCGAUCCCCCUGAGCAGGUACAAGGCUGGGUCUCCAUUUCCCUGCAGGGGCUGUGGGGUUCUAGGCCUGCUGGGCUCAACAUGGAUUUCCAGGGAGACUGGAGAGCUGGGGGAUGUGGGGACGAAGUGUGACUGGCCUCUGGCACGAUGCUGGGCAGCGCCUGGAGGGAGCUGAGGGGAGAGCUGGGGCUGGCAUAUGAGGAGAGGUUAAAACCUGCAGCUAGGAGGAGUGGGGGGAUGGCAGGAGCCCCCAGAAAUUGGCCCUGCGAGCACGGAGGGAGGGGAUGAUCUAGGGGGCCCAGGGGAACAUGUAGGGACCCAGAGAUAAGGGGCAGGAGAGCUGGGGCAGGCAGCAGCACCGCCCAGGGCAGACUUUCCUCAAGACGGGCUAGCUGGCCUAACAGCACUUCCAGCUCGAAUGUUGGGGAGCGGGGAUCUCCCAGUGUGCCGAGGCUGGCCAGGUUUUCGAUCCAAGGCGGGGUCCCUCUGGCGAGCGGUGGCAGACCUCCAGGAGUCCCCUCCUCCUGUUCUCUGGGCCUCACCCUGGUGGAUUAGGCACAUUGCUCUCCCUGCAUCAGCGCGCCACGUCCUGCGGCCAGCAGCGGGCUCGGCAGGACGCACCUCACAGCCGUCGGGGGCACUUGGGCCAGGUAACGCUGGCUGCUGAGGGAGGCAGGGACAAGCCUAGAAGGGCUAUUUGUCUGCUUGUGUGUGGCAAGUCCUGUGUUCCUAGGUACAGGAGAGUCAGAGCAGGUGACAGCCCCCAGGACUGCUCCUCUCCCCUGCCCUGCGCUUGCUGUGAGCAGGCCUAGAGGAGCAGUCCUAGGGCCUGGGGAGGGCGGAUGGUGCGCGUGGAGCGGUGACGGGACACUGUCUGGAAGGGCUGGCCUGUCGCUGUGAGCACUGGCAGAUCCUGAGCUUGGCUGCGGGGGAUUUUCCAGGGGUGAGCAGCGUCUGAUGUUCCCUGCAGGAAGGGAGCCCGGGAGGUGACAGAGGGAGCUUGCAGAUGAGUUUCAGGCUGCUCGUGCCCCAGCUUGUCACUUUCGGGUUUCACAAACUCUGCUGCCAACACCCCCAGAGGCUGCCCCACAGUCUGCGGGGUGGGGGUGGGAUCCCUGCCAUCCCACAGCCUUGCUGCUUUCGGGUUUCAGCUCCUGGGUAGAAUGGGCUCCUCUAGUGCGGGAUGCCCCUUGUUCCUCUAGAGCUCUGGCCAGGGCCAGCUGAACAGGUGUGCGAGGGGAGACAGACAGACAGAUGGACAGACCAGUGAGAGACGGCAGUCUAAAUCAUGGGGAUGAUGCUGCAGGUCCAGCACUGCCUCGACGGGGCAGCCUGGAGACGGCACGCUUCCUUGCAGCUGCACUAGCAAAGGGCCCGAAGCUGCUCACCACUGCUCGCAGGAAGGGGAGAUGGAACGCUGGGUUCUCAGUGACCAAGGCAGUGGCACACCCAGCACUUGCCUUGGGAGACUGUUCUGUAGCCUCUCACACCAGCCAUUGGGUCAUUUCUCCAAGCUGGUGUGUGUUUCUGAUGGCCUUGUGUGUGUGUGUGCGCGUGCGUGCGUGCGUGCGCGCGCGCGGGCACAUGUAUCUCUGAUGGCCUGGUGUGUUUGUGCAUGUGUGUGUGUUGUGUAUGUCUUUCAUAGUUGUGUGCGUGCAUGUGUGUGUGCAAUGGCUCUGUGUAUCUAUCUAUGGCUCUGUGCAUGUGUGUGUCUGUGUGUGCAAUGGCUCUGCGUGUAUAUCUCUGGCUCUGUGCGUGCGUGUGUGUGUGCAAUGGCUCAGCGUGUGUAUCUCUGGCUCUGUGCGUGCGUGCGUGUGUGUGUGCAAUGGUUCUGCGUGUGUAUCUCUGGCUCUGUGCGUGCGUGUGUGUGUGCAAAGGCUCUGUGCAUGGCUGUUGCUCCCAAGUGGAUAGUGACUUUUACUCGUGUCUGGUUAGCAGGGUUCCAUUGCAGUCAGUGGGGGGCUGCCCGAGAGACAUGUUCCAAUGCAGGUUGCCCCUUGGGAGAGGCGGUUGGUGAGGCUCAGGAAGGGGUCGGAGCUGGUGGAGCUGGAUAGGGGCUGCGUUCCUGCCUUACCUGCCCUAGGUCUGCUGUAGCUCGAGGUCGGGCUGGCGUCAGACUGGGAGGUGGCGGUUGCUGGAUGGGGGCUUGCUGGAGAAUACGGUUUCCAGAGCACGUGGACUAAUGGCCUGACCAGCACCUUGCAGAGGAACCAGUAGCACCAGCUCCAUGUGCAGCCUCCAGAGUUGCAAGCUCCUCUCCCUGCUCAGCACGGGCAGCUGCCCUGCUUUUGCCUGUCCCCGGUGCUUUCCCCGCCGUAGUGAACAGGGUGUUGUAGUGGGCGAGAGGCUCUGCACUAGGGCUGGGGCCAGGAACUCCCUGCUCUCACCCCAGCUUUGCCGGGUGGCCUUGAGUGAGCUGCCCCGUGGGAUGGGGAUAAUGAUGCCUACCUGCUCCUGGGGGAGGCUGGCCGCCUGAGCUCCCCUCUGGGAAGGUCAGUGGGAUGGAGGCCAGAGGAGGGGGCAGAGGCUGGCAUUCUGAGGGCUGGUUGGUUAUUGUUCACUCCCCCCAUCCCUCGCAGCUGGGCUGCUAGGACCACACUAGAUCGGAAACUCGUGCAACCCAGAAGUGCCCCCACCCCAGGAAGUGACAGGCCUUCCAGCAGGACGUCCGCAAAGACCUGAAAACUCAUCUGCCCCAUCUGCUAGCUACACAUCCAGGUAGCUGCACUCCUGGCUCACAGCUCUGGCUGGCUCCCACCAUCAGGGUGCUCAGGCCCCAACCAGGCCUAAUCCUGCAGCUGCGGCGUGUGCAAUGUCUCCCUUAGAGGCUGGUGCUCGAGAAGGAUAAAAGCCGCUCACUGCUAAGCUUGCUCCUUCUGCUCAGGUGGCAGCGGCCUGGGAUUUUUGUGCAGAAGAUCUCGGUCCAGUCACUGCUGCCAGCCCAUAUUGAAACAGUUGUUACACAGCCAAAGGUCCAUGUGAGUCCUGGUAAGGAGCAGCACCAGGGGCUCGUGGGCGUUUGGUUUGUUUCAACCCAUUGUAUUGUCCAGUGGCACCUUUAGAGGCCACCGGGCCACUCGGGACAGGCCUUUUCUUUGUGUUCUCAUGAUCUAAUCACAAGCCGCCGACCUUCCAUCCUCUGCCCUAGGUCCUUGUGUCUCUGUGCAGGCCCACCGGUAGGUGGAUGCGAGCUGGUUCUGGCCCUGGCGCUCACUGGGCAUUGGAGGGCUCCCUUCUCUUGCACAGCAGAAGCAAAACUCCCACUGCAGAAUCAUCUCAUAAGCAAGGUGUGCAUUUGACCCAGGGCCUGACCCUCUCCCCUUUACUCCCUGAGUCAGGCUCACUCGUGGGGUCGGGUCAGCCAGGAUGCAGAGCCAGGCCCAUAGCAUUCCAAACGGAAGGGCUCUAGGGGAAAAAUGAAGGUAAUAAAAAACCACAAAGCAAAGAGAAACCUGCUGCUAGCAGAACCAGAUUGUUCUCCUCCUUUGGAUGUAUACUCCCCCGAAGGGUCUGCAGUGGGCCGCUGCUCGUGUCGGGAAAGGAGACUGCCUCCGUGGAAACGGCUGCAUUUGCUGAUGGCAUGCUCGCCUGAACGGUUCAGAAGCGAUUGUUCUUAUUCACUGGUCAGGAACCUGUUCCAAAGGAGUUGUACCACACAGAGGUCGAUGAGCAGCAGGGGUGCAAAGGGAGUUGUGGGGAAAUGAGAUGCAAAGCUGUCUUAUUUAAAUGCUAGACAAUCCCUGGCAUGCGUGCCUGCAGAGCAACGAGGCCAGAGGCUCCUAGAAGCAAAGCUGGGGAAAAGAGUGUGGGGCUGCAGUUCCUGGAGGAAAAAAAUCAAGUGGGUCCCACUGACCCUAAUUUUUCCAGCUAACAGGAAAAAGCGUUUGAUAGGCCUCGUGAACUGGAGCCACUAGAAUAAUGCCCAGCCCAAACCUGCCUGAACCCAAGGUGAACUUUAAUUGGAACUGGGCAUAAGAAUUUGGUUCCCUGUAUUUUCCCUUCUGCGUCUCUGCACUCCUGGCAGGGCUGGAUCUGAAACGGCUAGAAGUCUGGAUUGGCAGGCUGGCUCCAUGACAUCGCCAGCUCAGGCUGCAUGGGAUGUGGACAGCUCAGGUUAGGUCCCCAGAAGCACCCAAGCCCUGGAGUAUUUCUACAGCCUCAGAUCUUGGAGAUUUGCCCCUCGCUUUGCAUCUCACUUUCAUGGAGUGUUAGCUCUGUAUCAUACUAAUGCCGGGGGCCACGAGCCCUGGCACCCUGCAGCCCAGUCAAUUAGAGCAUCCCCCAGCACCAAGGAGAAUUAAUAGCUUGGCCAGUUAGCACGGCCCUCAGGGCCCUGCCCGCAGCCCUAUCAGACAGAUGCCUGGUGGGGCAGAGAGGGGUUGAGGCGAGAACAUCACGCAGCUGGGACCGGCCUUUGUGUGGCUCUGGAGAAGCAGGCUCCUGGCCCCAUGGGGUUGCUCGCGGUGUAAAACCACUACCAGCAGGCGUGCCAUGGAUCUGUGAACAGCCCUGGCUGUGUGUGCACCUGGGGAUCCCGGUGGACUGUGACCACUGGCCCAAGCCUGUAACGUCUGCUCUAAACAUGUCAGCUCUGCAAAUG